ACAAACGAAGGACCAGGUUCUGAAAGUGA
rnacentral:sRNA from 1 species